rnacentral:rRNA from 1 species
GAUGAACGCUGGCGGCGUGCCUAAUACAUGCAAGUCGAGCGAACGGACGAGAAGCUUGCUUCUCUGAUGUUAGCGGCGGACGGGUGAGUAACACGUGGAUAACCUACCUAUAAGACUGGGAUAACUUCGGGAAACCGGAGCUAAUACCGGAUAAUAUUUUGAACCGCAUGGUUCAAAAGUGAAAGACGGUCUUGUUGUCACUUAUAGAUGGAUCCGCGCUGCAUUAGCUAGUUGGUAAGGUAACGGCUUACCAAGGCAACGAUGCAUAGCCGACCUGAGAGGGUGAUCGGCCACACUGGAACUGAGACACGGUCCAGACUCCUACGGGAGGCAGCAGUAGGGAAUCUUCCGCAAUGGGCGAAAGCCUGACGGAGCAACGCCGCGUGAGUGAUGAAGGUCUUCGGAUCGUAAAACUCUGUUAUUAGGGAAGAACAUAUGUGUAAGUAACUGUGCACAUCUUGACGGUACCUAAUCAGAAAGCCACGGCUAACUACGUGCCAGCAGCCGCGGUAAUACGUAGGUGGCAAGCGUUAUCCGGAAUUAUUGGGCGUAAAGCGCGCGUAGGCGGUUUUUUAAGUCUGAUGUGAAAGCCCACGGCUCAACCGUGGAGGGUCAUUGGAAACUGGAAAACUUGAGUGCAGAAGAGGAAAGUGGAAUUCCAUGUGUAGCGGUGAAAUGCGCAGAGAUAUGGAGGAACACCAGUGGCGAAGGCGACUUUCUGGUCUGUAACUGACGCUGAUGUGCGAAAGCGUGGGGAUCAAACAGGAUUAGAUACCCUGGUAGUCCACGCCGUAAACGAUGAGUGCUAAGUGUUAGGGGGUUUCCGCCCCUUAGUGCUGCAGCUAACGCAUUAAGCACUCCGCCUGGGGAGUACGACCGCAAGGUUGAAACUCAAAGGAAUUGACGGGGACCCGCACAAGCGGUGGAGCAUGUGGUUUAAUUCGAAGCAACGCGAAGAACCUUACCAAAUCUUGACAUCCUUUGACAACUCUAGAGAUAGAGCCUUCCCCUUCGGGGGACAAAGUGACAGGUGGUGCAUGGUUGUCGUCAGCUCGUGUCGUGAGAUGUUGGGUUAAGUCCCGCAACGAGCGCAACCCUUAAGCUUAGUUGCCAUCAUUAAGUUGGGCACUCUAAGUUGACUGCCGGUGACAAACCGGAGGAAGGUGGGGGUGACGUCAAAUCAUCAUGCCCCUUAUGAUUUGGGCUACACACGUGCUACAAUGGACAAUACAAAGGGCAGCGAAACCGCGAGGUCAAGCAAAUCCCAUAAAGUUGUUCUCAGUUCGGAUUGUAGUCCACAAAACGACCACAUGAAACUGGAAUCCCUAGUAAUCCUAAAUCAGCAUGCUACGGUGAAUACUUUCCCGGGUCU